AGACACAGAUACACAUUGAGACAGACACAUGUAUAGAUACAUACAUAGACAUACACAAAGAUAGUCGGACACACGUGUACACACAUGCACACACCGUAUGACACCACACACCAAGACUGGGCUAAAGCUCCUUCUCUGAGCUCUCAUAGCACCUUAUCCAGACCUCUGUCACUGAACUGAUCAGUUUUUACUGACAAAUCUGUCCUUCUAUCUCGAUAAUAAAUUGUUCCAGGUCAAAGGCCAUGCCCUUUGUCACUUUAAACACCCCACCCUUCCUCACACACUGUCUAAUUCAUAGUGGGCCAUCAAUAAAGCUUUGCUAAACUGAACCCAACAAUAAUUCCAAGGCAGGCCAGAGGGACUGGGAAAUGGAAUGGCUUCCCCAGUGACCAAAUCUAAAAUUUAUUCUCCCGUCCAAAUCUCUGGGCAAGGGCAGAUUGCGACCUUCCAUGGCAAUGACAGUGACAGCAUCACCCCGCCAUCAAGUCUUAUCCUUGCCCCUUAAAACACACAAAAACAUCAUACUCCUAAAACUUGGUCCUUAGCCAUUGAGUUCAAGGCCUUUCUCCGAUUUGAGAUAUUCAGCAGAAUAAACUAAGUUGAUGCCACUUCUAGGCAGCCAGAAGGAAACAGCAAAGAAAUGCUUCGAGCUUCAUUCAGCACCUUUUCAUCUCCCAUUUGUCUCCUAAAUUAAAACCCUUCAGAGGCAGAAGCUACGUCUGAUUAUUCUUUGUGUUUCUCACGGUUCCUAGAAGAACACUGGCAGUAGGAAUGGCGAAGUGUUGGAGAAGAAGGUGGGAUAGAAUGGGACAUGGGCCCUUCGAAUUUUCCACAGGAAAAAAAACAUGUAACCUGGAGAUUUAAUAAAACCUUCAAAAAUAUAGACACUACCUAUGUAAAUUGCAGGAACUCAGCUGGGUUUCUAUUUGUUCCAGGCAGUCUACACGCUGGUAUAGUCCACUCUCCUGCAUCACAUCACAGUCACAAGCACAGGCUCUGGGACCAGACAGCUCUGGUCAGAAUCCCGAUUCUGUCGUGCACCAGCGGUCCACACUGGGGUGGCCUCUUGAGUCUCAGUAUCCGCGUCUGGAAAGAGGAGAAUAACUCAGACUGCACCGGCAGGGUGUGGAGCUCUCAGCUUGGUGUUGGGCACACAGGUUCCAGACGGCAGCAAGUUCCCACCUGGAGAGGGGGAAGCAGCCCCAGAAACUCAGGCAUCAGGUGAUCUCGUCCAGAAUUCCAGCUCCUAGGAAGAGAGACAGUGAGAACCACGCAGAAGCCAUGUCCUCUGGUGAUGAAGCCCUGGGCUUCUCCUGAGGUUCUGGACACCCCUACUCUGCCCACGGGAUUGGUAGCCAAGCGCAGCUGGGACCAAGAUGGGAAACUGGGGGCCAGCUAGGGGCCCCAUUGUGCAACCUAAAUGUAUACAAUUUUUAUUUGUCAAUCAUACAUCAACAAAGCUGGGGGGGAAAUAAGUAACCAGAGAAAAGAGAACAUUGAAAAUAAAGGGAACCAGCCCUGAUGGCCUAGAGGUUAA
rnacentral:lncRNA from 1 species